AUUGAACGCUGGCGGCAUGCCUUACACAUGCAAGUCGAACGGCAGCGCGGGAGCAAUCCUGGCGGCGAGUGGCGAACGGGUGAGUAAUGCAUCGGAACGUGCCUAGUAGUGGGGGAUAACUGCUCGAAAGAGCAGCUAAUACCGCAUACGACCUGAGGGUGAAAGGGGGGGAUCGCAAGACCUCUCGCUAUUAGAGCGGCCGAUGUCGGAUUAGCUAGUUGGUGGGGUAAAGGCCCACCAAGGCAACGAUCCGUAGCUGGUCUGAGAGGACGACCAGCCACACUGGGACUGGGACACGGCCCAGACUCCUACGGGAGGCAGCAGUGGGGAAUUUUGGACAGUGGACGCAAGUCUGAUCCAGCCAUGCCGCGUGCGGGAAGAAGGCCUUCGGGUUGUAAACCGCUUUUGUCAGGGAAGAAAUCUUCUGGGUUAAUACCUCGGGAGGAUGACGGUACCUGAAGAAUAAGCACCGGCUAACUACGUGCCAGCCGCCGCGGUAAUAC
rnacentral:rRNA from 1 species